CCUACGGGAGGCAGCAGUGGGGAAUAUUGGACAAUGGGCGGAAGCCUGAUCCAGCAACGCCGCGUGAGGGAUGACGGCCUUCGGGUUGUAAACCUCUUUCAGCACCGACGAAGCGUGAGUGACGGUAGGUGCAGAAGAAGGACCGGCCAACUACGUGCCAGCAGCCGCGGUAAUACGUAGGGUCCGAGCGUUGUCCGGAAUUAUUGGGCGUAAAGGGCUCGUAGGCGGUCUGUCGCGUCGGGAGUGAAAAUCCAGGGCUUAACUCUGGGCUUGCUUUCGAUACGGGCAGACUGGAGGCAUGCAGGGGAGAACGGAAUUCCUGGUGUAGCGGUGAAAUGCGCAGAUAUCAGGAGGAACACCGGUGGCGAAGGCGGUUCUCUGGGCAUGUCCUGACGCUGAGGAGCGAAAGUGUGGGGAGCGAACAGGAUUAGAUACCCCG
rnacentral:rRNA from 1 species